rnacentral:rRNA from 1 species
UACAGAGGUCCCAAGCGUUGUUCGGAUUCAUUGGGCGUAAAGGGUGCGUAGGUGGCGCGCUAAGUCAGGUGUGAAAUUUCGGAGCUUAACUCCGAAACUGCAUUUGAUACUGGCGGUGCUUGAGGACUGGAGAGGAGACUGGAAUUUACGGUGUAGCGGUGAAAUGCGUAGAUAUCGUAAGGAAGACCAGUGGCGAAGGCGGGUCUCUGGACAGUUCCUGACGCUGAGGCACGAAGGUCAGGGGAGCAAACGGG